AGCAAAGAAAAAAAAAGGCCUCUAUUAUUCUGUGAGCAACAAACCAAACUGGGUUGGGGGUCUCAGGCAAUUCGUUCAUAUGAUUGCAACGACAGACAGAAACUCCCAGAUUGGAGAGGUCGGGAGAGCACA